rnacentral:lncRNA from 1 species
AUGUAUCUUGCUCGCGUAACAACAACGUCUCGAAGAAGACAAAGCAGACGGAUUCGGGCUCCGCUAAUUAGAAAGCAACGAAUGCCGGCAUUUAAUAAACAUUUGAGUGGCCGGUGGCGCAGAAGGAGCCAGCGGAGGGGCGGCGGUUUCCGAGUGCCGUGGGAGCAGCGCCGGAGCGGCUCCGCGGGACGGGAAUUAGCGCCGUUCUCCCCGCCGGGCUGCGGACCGAGAGCGGAGCCGCGAUGCGGGCAGGGAACCUUGCCCACCUCCCGUCUCCAGCUCCCUGCCUGCGCACACGCUCCGCACGGCGCCGGGAGGGACAUCCACGCUGAUUUAUCCACGGGGGGAUCCAGCCCUCCCCUCCCCUGCUCCCGGUUUCUCGGGGCUCUGUGCCGCUGCCCCGCAAGGCUCCCGUCCUCGCCGCGGGUGGCAGGCGACAGCUCCGCGCACCCCCGCGGCUCUCCGCGCCGGGCAGCGCGGCGGCGAGGACGGGGCAGGGGCCGCGCAGCUGUUGACAGACAGAAAGCCUCGAUCUCCCAAGCCUUCCUCAAUCCAUCUUCGCGGGAUGGCAGGGGACAGCCCCGACGGGUUAAAGUAAAAGGUUUUGUCGCUGCUGAAAAGAGGGAGAUGUGGGGAGAGAAGGGGGGAGGAAAGAGAGGUCUGAUGCUGAGGAGUAUAAGAUACAGGGUAGGGGGGGAAUCACCUGGAGAUGAAGCUGCGAGGGAAGUUAAAUACGCGUCCGUCCAUCCAUUCAACCAUUCCAGUGCCACCCCCAGUGCUUCACCCCUGUGCUGCCAAGUUGGGACCCACCUGGGGACCGUGCAGCGCGGCCGCAGGUGUGUGCGGUGCAGAGCAGCGUGGAGCGCUGUAGACCAGGGAGGAGAGCUAAGGGCAGCCGGAGCGGGGCUGAGGGUCCUGACCUGCCCGCACACCCCCAGCACCGGUGGCCUCCAUGGAUGGAGGGUACGGGGUUGUCCUCCGUGGGUCGGGACAGAGUGGAUGAAGUUUGCCCCGUCAGCAGAGCCCUGGGCGGUGUGA